rnacentral:rRNA from 1 species
CGGCAGAGUAACUGUGGUGGGCGUGACGGUAUCCAACCAGAAAGCCACGGCUAACUACGUGCCAGCAGCCGCGGUAAUACGUAGGUGGCAAGCGUUAUCCGGAUUUAUUGGGCGUAAAGCGAGCGCAGGCGGUUUUUUAAGUCUGAUGUGAAAGCCCUCGGCUUAACCGAGGAAGUGCAUCGGAAACUGGGAAACUUGAGUGCAGAAGAGGACAGUGGAACUCCAUGUGUAGCGGUGAAAUGCGUAGAUAUAUGGAAGAACACCAGUGGCGAAGGCGGCUGUCUGGUCUGUAACUGACGCUGAGGCUCGAAAGCAUGGGUAGCGAACAGGAUUAGAUACCCUGGUAGUCCAUGCCGUAAACGAUGAAUGCUAGGUGUUGGAGGGUUUCCGCCCUUCAGUGCCGCAGCUAACGCAUUAAGCAUUCCGCCUGGGGAGUACGACCGCAAGGUUGAAACUCAAAGGAAUUGACGGGGGCCCGCACAAGCGGUGGAGCAUGUGGUUUAAUUCGAAGCAACGCGAAGAACCUUACCAGGUCUUGACAUCUUUUGAUCACCUGAGAGAUCAGGUUUCCCCUUCGGGGGCAAAAUGACAGGUGGUGCAUGGUUGUCGUCAGCUCGUGUCGUGAGAUGUUGGGUUAAGUCCCGCAACGAGCGCAACCCUUAUGACUAGUUGCCAGCAUUUAGUUGGGCACUCUAGUAAGACUGCCGGUGACAAACCGGAGGAAGGUGGGGAUGACGUCAAAUCAUCAUGCCCCUUAUGACCUGGGCUACACACGUGCUACAAUGGAUGGUACAACGAGUUGCGAGACCGCGAGGUCAAGCUAAUCUCUUAAAGCCAUUCUCAGUUCGGACUGUAGGCUGCAACUCGCCUACACGAAGUCGGAAUCGCUGUAAUCGCGGAUCAGCACGCCGCGGUGAAUACGUUCCCGGGCCUUGUACACACCGCCCGUCACACCCUGAGAGUUUGU